rnacentral:rRNA from 1 species
ACGCUCGACACCUACGGGAGUCAGCAGUAGGGAAUCUUCCACAAUGGACGCAAGUCUGAUGGAGCAACGCCGCGUGAGUGAAGAAGGUCUUCGGAUCGUAAAACUCUGUUGUUAGAGAAGAACACGAGUGAGAGUAACUGUUCAUUCGAUGACGGUAUCUAACCAGCAAGUCACGGCUAACUACGUGCCAGCAGCUGCGGUAAUCUGAGCGGGCUGGCAAGGC